UCUGGAAACGGAUGGUAAUACCCGAUAACAUUUCCGGAUCAAAGGUGAGAUUCCGCCUGAGGACGGGACUGCGUCCUAUUAGCUAGUUGGCAGGGUAAUGGCCUACCAAGGUGACGAUGGGUAGCGGGCGUGAGAGCGUGACCCGCAUCAUUGGGACUGAGACACUGCCCAGACACCUACGGGUGGCUGCAGUCGAGAAUCUUCGGCAAUGGACGAAAGUCUGACCGAGCGACGCCGCGUGUAUGAUGAAGGUCUUCGGAUUGUAAACUCCUGUCUUAAAGG
rnacentral:rRNA from 1 species